ensembl:lncRNA
AUUUACACCUACAUACAGUGUUUUUUGUUAUGAUGUCACACAUCAUAACAAAAUAACUGCAUGUAAAAGGAGUGAGGCAGGCUUUCUUCAUCCUUUGUCCCUCCUCCUUUCACGAGUUCUGUUUUAAAUAGAGAGCAAGCUUAGUUGGGAGAAGAGUAUCUACUUCUUGAACGCACCUGUGACAUCCAUUAGUCAGACUGUGACAACCACUUGUUCAAGGAGAACAGCAACAUAUUUUCUUACUUCGUGUUCUUCUGAGAUCCAAAAUUACAGCAAUGGACAAUCGAAGCAGAGUUGUGUUCGCAGUCGUCAUGGUAAUGGCGUGCAUGGGAAUGAGAGCUGAGGCACAGAUCUCCACAACAGCUCCAAAUACAACAAAUACAACUCUUUCACUAAACAUCUCAAGGGCAAAUUGUGGAAACAAACAGUUCUGUGCUGCUCAGCCAGCAGGCUGUGACCCAUCUGUGUCUGGAUCCUGUUUCUUCGUCUCAACCAGUCAAAUCUCCGGACAGAACAUUUCCUUCCAGCUUCAAGGACAAUCCAGUGGCUACGUCGCUGUAGGGUUGUCCAGAACCAUUAACACGGGACAAAAUGACUCUGUCUAUGUGUGUGCUAAAAACAACGACAACAUCACUGUCAAUUUCUCUUCCAAUCUUUACAACAACGGAACUCUGACUCUGAACAACAUGCUGCCCUCUAACCUGCUGAAGGGCUCAAUCAGUAAUCUGACCAUCCAGUGCAUCUUCUCUGCUACAGUCCCCGAUGCUACUUCCCCCAGGAGCAGCAGUACCUCCUUUUUCAUUUCCAUCUACAACGGGACCGUGUCUAAUGGACUCCUAGGUAGUCCUAAGGCUAUCUUUACAAGCACUGAAGCCGUGGACCUGUCCAACAGCAAUGCGACCAACAGCAACAGUUCUACAACAGCCUCACCAACCACCACAGCUAACCACGCUUUUGGUCUACAACGCACCCUGUCUCAAGCUCUGCUGAUCCUGCUUGGUGGACUAGUUUUCAUCAUGCUGUAAUGUGGAUCUCAGUAGUAAACCACUUCAUAUUCAGAAAUUCUGGAUCCCUAUGGUUACUGAAGCCAACCAGGCUGGGUUCCCAAGAAUGAAACUCCUUCUGAGCUGGGGUAGUAAGACAUUAGCCUACAGAAUUAAUCCAGUAAUAUAAGAUUAAUGUUGUGUUUAUAGUCAAGGCCUUUUAAGGUACAUUUCAUCAUUAUUUAACCUCAUCAUCUUCGGCAUUACAACAUCAACAUCUCUUCAAUUCAGUGCCUGCAUAACAUAAAAAACUGUUGUGUUGAUGUUGUGUUGAGAACAUGAAUAUGAGGUAUAGACCUAAGACAUCCAACAUGUGUAAGUUAUUUAUUUGAGCCCAGUCAUUUUCAUAUUCAUCGUAGCUUAUGUCAAGUUAUGUUGAAUGUCUUAGGUGUAUACCUAAGGAUGACAAGUAUGAAUUUGUGUGUGUGUAUGUGUGAAGUGUAACUAUUCGCUUACACAUUUGUGUCUAAUGAAGCCACAAGUUGGCAGAAGCUGAUACUUGUGUGUGUAAUUCUGUUUGUGUGUCUGAUAAAGUACCAACAUUUUUUCUUUCUGAUUACCCUUUAAAAGUGUGAAAUGUUUUUCGUACAUUAAAAAUACAACAUUUAUUGACAAUACUAUGCAUUGUGUUUUUCAUACAUACACUUUUAUAUAAUUUAUAGACAGUAAAAUAAGUAAAAGACUGUUUAAAAUAAAAAUGAAUACAGUUAACAUACAAUAAGGGGAAUCAAGCAAUCAACCAGCAAAACCACAUAGAAUGUUUCCAGAGUUCAAUUAAUUGAAACUGUUAAGGAUCUAUUUACUACCCUAUUCUUAUUCUAUCCUUUAUUCUGCAAAUUAACUGUAAUAAAUGGACUGUUUUAGACUAGGCCUGAAAUUGCUUUAGAAUUUUCAUGGUUGCCACAUACAGAAGAAGACCUAGGUCAGCCUGCCCUGCUCUUAGAAGUGAUUAGGGCCACAACCAAGGCACCAGGCAUCAACCCUAUCUUUUGCACGACCCUGUUCAGUUGGAAGCCAUAAUAUGUGAUCAGAACAAUCUGUCAUGACGUUACUCUGCUGGUCUCUGUACUAAUUCUCUAUCAAUGUCAUGAUACUUCUUCCUGUGGAUCCAUGUAAUUAAACUUGAAAUAAUCAACUGUUAUACCAGAAGUUCUCAUUUGUAUAAAUCGCGAACAUUUUCCAUCUUCCACAAUUUGGCACCCCAGAUGGGACUUCAAU